UGCCGGCGACCGGCGCACGGGUGAGUAACACGUAGUGCGACCUGACCCCCCGCAGGGGGAUAACCGGGAGAAAUCCCGACUAAUACCGCGUAACGCCGCGGACCUGCAUGGGUCUGCGGCCAAAGGAAGCGAUUCCGGCGGGGGAUGGGCAUGCGGCGCAUUAGCUAGUCGGCGGGGUAACGGCCCACCGAGGCGACGAUGCGUAGGGGUUCUGAGAGGAAGGUCCCCCACACUGGUACUGAGACACGGACCAGACUCCUACGGAAGGCAGCAG
rnacentral:rRNA from 1 species